UGGGGGAACCCUGAUCAGCCAUGCCGCGUGUGUGAAGAAGGCCUUAGGGUUGUAAAGCACUUUCAGUGGGGAAGAAGGCAUGACGAUUAAUACCCGUCAUGAAGGACAUCACCCACAGAAGAAGCACCGGCUAACUCCGUGCCAGCAGCCGCGGUAAUACGGAGGGUGCAAGCGUUAAUCGGAAUUACUGGGCGUAAAGGGCGCGUAGGCGGCUUGCCAAGCCGGAUGUGAAAGCCCCGGGCUCAACCCGGGAACGGCAUUCGGAACUGGCAGGCUAGAGUGCAGGAGAGGAAGGUGGAAUUCCCGGUGUAGCGGUGAAAUGCGUAGAGAUCGGGAGGAAUACCAGUGGCGAAGGCGGCCUUCUGGACUGACACUGACGCUGAGGCGCGAAAGCGUGGGUAGCAAACAGGAUUAGAUACCCUGGUAGUCCACGCCGUAAACGAUGUCGACCAGCCGUUGGACCCCUUGAGGGUUUGGUGGCGCAGUUAACGCAAUAAGUCGACCGCCUGGGGAGUACGGCCGCAAGGCUAAAACUCAAAUGAAUUGACGGGGGCCCGCACAAGCGGUGGAGCAUGUGGUUUAAUUCGAUGCAACGCGAAGAACCUUACCUGCUCUUGACAUCCUGCGAAUCUCCCAGAGAUGGGAGAGUGCCUUCGGGAACGCAGAGACAGGUGCUGCAUGGCUGUCGUCAGCUCGUGUUGUGAAAUGUUGGGUUAAAUCCCGUAACGAGCGCAACCCCUAUCCCUUUUUGCCAGGGUCCGGCCGGGGACUACAGGGAGACUGCCGGUGACAGACCGUAGGAAGGUG
rnacentral:rRNA from 1 species